AUUGAACGCUGGCGGCAGGCUUAACACAUGCAAGUCGAGCGGGGUGAUGGUGCUUGCACUAUCACUUAGCGGCGGACGGGUGAGUAAUGCUUAGGAAUCUGCCUAUUAGUGGGGGACAACAUCUCGAAAGGGAUGCUAAUACCGCAUACGUCCUACGGGAGAAAGCAGGGGAUCACUUGUGACCUUGCGCUAAUAGAUGAGCCUAAGUCGGAUUAGCUAGUUGGUGGGGUAAAGGCCUACCAAGGCGACGAUCUGGAGCGGGUCUGAGAGGAUGAUCCGCCACACUGGGACUGAGACACGGCCCAGACUCCUACGGGAGGCAGCAGUGGGGAAUAUUGGACAAUGGGGGGAACCCUGAUCCAGCCAUGCCGCGAGUGUGAAGAAGGCCUUAUGGUUGUAAAGCACUUUAAGCGAGGAGGAGGCUCUUUUGGUUAAUACCCAAGAUGAGUGGACGUUACUCGCAGAAUAAGCACCGGCUAACUCUGUGCCAGCAGCCGCCGUAA
rnacentral:rRNA from 1 species